GAGUUUGAUCCUGGCUCAGGACGAACGCUGGCGGCGUGCUUAACACAUGCAAGUCAAGGGGGCCCAGCAAUGGGCAACCGGCGAACGGGUGCGUAACACGUGAGCAACCUACCGAACUGUGGGGGAUAGCCGGCCUAACGGCCGAGUAAUACCGCAUACGCUUUCAGUGAGGCAUUUCAUUGAAAGGAAACCUACGGGACAGAUCGAGGGGCUCGCGGCCUAUCAGCUAGUUGGCGAGGUAACGGCUCACCAAGGCAACGACGGGUAGCUGGUCUGAGAGGAUGGCCAGCCACAUUGGGACUGAGAUACGGCCCAGACUCCUACGGGAGGCAGCAGUGGGGAAUCUUGCGCAAUGGCCUAACGGCUGACGCAGCGACGCCGCGUGUGGGAUGAAGCUCUUCGGAGUGUAAACCACUGUUGCCCGGGACGAACAGCUCGAUUAAUCGAGCCUGACGGUACCGGGUGAGGAAGCACCGGCUAACUCCGUGCCAGCAGCCGCGGUAAUACGGGGGGUGCGAGCGUUGUCCGGAAUCACUGGGCGUAAAGGGCGCGUAGGUGGUUUGAUAAGGGUGUGGUGAAAGUCCGGGGCUCAACCCCGGAUCUGCCGUGCCGACUGUCAAACUCGAGGACUGUAGAGGCAGACGGAAUUCCGGGUGUAGCGGUGGAAUGCGUAGAGAUCCGGAGGAAGACCGGUGG
rnacentral:rRNA from 1 species